rnacentral:lncRNA from 1 species
CACGAUAUGCAGCCGAACCGCUUACCGAAUAACAAGUGCCAGGCACUUCCUGAACCGCUUUUAGUUUUUGGCCGUGUGCCGUCCAAGUCAGGAAAAGAGUUCACGUAAAAGCAAAAUUCGGGCAACGACAGUGUUGUUGGCGCUUCUGUAGGUUUUCGGGAUGAAGUUAUGAGAUGUAAUUAAUUGUGGCAGCAUGCCACGGAGCAGGGGCUUGGCUCUUCAGGUGCUACGUUCUCUGUCGGGUCGUUUGCUGUUGGGUUGGCGGUUUCAGCCAUGUUACUU